CCACAGCUCUAUCAGCCCUGCAGUUAAACUGAUCUCAAGACUGACUAGUAAUCAUUGGAACAACUUCAACAGAAGCAACCAGCAGAGCCUUACAUCAGAUUAUCCCAGCGCAUUCCCUUCAAAAACUGCAACUCCCUGUUCAAAUCCCAUCUCCGAUGGAAGAGGAACUUGAGCAUCUCCCAUAUCCCAGUACUUGGAAAGAAAGGAUGUUUUUAUGAAAGAGUCAACAAUGCAACACCUUCAACUAAGAUACAAGGCCCUCAACAAAACCAGAAGAUUACUUGACCUUCCUGAUAGUUCCAAGUUAAAAACAAG